rnacentral:rRNA from 1 species
AUGGCUGAUAGGAUAAAUAUCUUUGCACCUAACUUGUCACCCAGUGCCUCUAGGUUUUGGAAAGGUAUAAAAACCAUUAUCCAAGCACUGAAAUUUGGUUAUAGAUGGAAGAUUGGGCCAGGAGAUAAAGUUAGAUUCUGGGAGGAUACCUGGUUCGGUACUUCCCCCCUAGCUGUGCAAUUCUGGCCUAUCUACUCCAUUUGCAAUGAGCAAACCAAGAGUGUUAGUGAGGUGUGGGAUGGUCAUCAAUUA